rnacentral:snRNA from 1 species
AUCACUGUUGGCCUAUUAGUUAGGAUUAAGUGUAGUAUCUGUGCUUAUCAGUUUAGUAUCUGAUAUAUCCUCCACUCAAGGAAAUACAUUAAGCGGAUUUUUGGAAGAGGGAGAUGGAAUAGGAGCUUGCUCUAUCCACUACAUGCAUCGACCUGAUAUUGUAGUAUCUUUAGGAGCAAGGCACCCUUU